ensembl:lncRNA
UUAAUAUUAUUUUUUUUUAAAUCUAAUAAAAGGUAAACGAUGGCACAUUUCUCAUCAGUCUUACACAAAUCAAAAACUCUAUUUCUCAAAAUAUUGAUCCAUGUCUGCAGUCUUCUAUUUUUAGGGCUGGCAUGGAUUGCAGUGUCAAAGUUGUGGGGACCUAAAUACCUGGUGGCACCCCUGCUCACACUGUAACAGCUGGGAAAGGCUCCAGCACCGCUGUGACACUGGAAUUGAUUAUUUAAAACAACACAAUAUACUUUGAUUAACAAGAACUUGGAAUCUUAAGAAGCUAUUUUUUUUCCAAAACUCUGACCAUAUAUGAGGGAUCUGCAGUUGAUAAGCCGGGACCAAUAGAAGGCCAAAGGAUCAGACUGAAGAUUUUCAAGUGUCCUCUGAAGAAGACAGAGAGAGAGAGCAGCUCAGUAUGAUGUGGAAGUUGCCAAUAACUUCAAGGCAGCAGCUUCAGGAGGAACAACAGAGGAGGGAGGCUGCUGAAAAUACACUUGGCGACCUGCAGAACGAUAAAGAAAAGUUGGAGAAGAAGAAUACUGAAAUCAUCAAUCAGCUCCAGCACGAGAAAGAAACAUUAGAGGAGCUGAAGAAGCAGCUGGAGUCCAAAAAUCAGGAGCUUUCUGACAGCAUCAGUGAGCUUAACAGGGAGAAAAGGAUAAAGGAGAGUGAAAUAAACACCAUGAGGGUUCAGCUGGAGUCCAACAAACAGGAGAUGAUGAAAUCUGAGAGGGAGAAGGAUGAAAUCAUUACGAAGCUGAGGCAGACGAUCCUUACACUGGAAUCAAAGGCCAGUCUCCAGGAGGAGAAACAGAGAAGGGAGAAAGCUGAGAAACAAGUUCAGAUGUUGCCAACAGAAACAGAGGAGGAGAAACAGAACAAAGAGGAAACUGAGAAAAAAGUUCAGACCUUGCAGAUCAAAACAGAGAAGAUUUCUCACAUCAACAGUCCGUCCAAGCAGAAGAAAUAGACACUGAAGGAGCCUCAGAAAGAAGUCAAGGAACAGCCCAAGAAUCAGUGCUGUGCUUUCUGAUUUGAUUUUUAAAGAAUUAGUUUACAUUUAUGUUUACAUCAACAGCUGGUGUGACAAAGCAAAUUGCAAGGCACCCAUAUGUGUAUGCUUGUGUGCAGAACAGAGAGCAAUUUUAAAAUGUGUAACUUGAAUGCUGUUAUACCCCCAACUGGUCACAGCAGAUGUCCACCCCUCCCUGAGCCUGAUUCUGCUGGAGGUUUCUUCCUCUCAAAUCGGCAUUUUUCCUUCCCACUGUCACCAAGGAACUGGACUCACAUUGAGGUUUUUUGAUUGUUGGGGUUUUCUCUGUAUUAUUGUACGAUCUUUACAUGACAACAUAAUGAACUUUGACUUUGUGACUGUUGUUGUGAUUUGGUGCUAUAUAAAUAAAA